rnacentral:rRNA from 1 species
GACGAACGCUGGCGGCGCGCUUAACACAUGCAAGUCGAACGGAAAGGCCUGCUUUCCCUUGUGGAUUGCGGGUACUCGAGUGGCGAACGGGUGAGUAACACGUGAGUGAUCUGCCCCCAACUUGGGUAUAAGCCUGGGAAACUGGGUCUAAUUCCCGAUAGGACUGCAGGGUGGUGCCUGUGGUGGAAAACGAUUUUCUAGUGGUUGGGGAUGAGCUCGCGGCCUAUCAGCUUGUUGGUGGGGUAAUGGCCUACCAAGGCGGCGACGGGUAGCCGGCCUGAGAUGGUGGACGGCCACAUUGGGACUGAGAUACGGCCCAGACGCCUACGGGAGGCAGCAGUGGGGAAUAUUGCACAAUGGGCGGAAGCCUGAUGCAGCGACGCCGCGUGGGGGAUGACGGGCUUCGGGUGGUAAACUCCUUUCGACCGCGAGGAAGCCACCUGGUUGGAAGGGUGGUGACGGUAGUGGUAGAAGAAGCACCGGCUAACUACGUG